GCGCUCCUCGAGGGGCAGGAGGUCCCCGCGGGGCAGCGCGGGGUCGCAGGAGGCGCUGGGGGCGGCCACGUAGAGCGGGACCCCGUGGUGCCGCGCCGCCAGCGCCAGCGCGUACGUCCCGAUCUUGUUGGCCGUGUCCCCGUUGGCGGCCACGCGGUCGGCGCCCACCACCACGGCUGGGGGGGGGACACGGGGAGGGGGGGGGGUGAGACCCCCGACCCGGGCUCGGCCGGGCCCACGAACCCCGGCCCCGGGGCCCCGUAACAGCCCCGGCCCUCCCGCCCCGCCGUGUCCCAGCCGCCACGGCCCCGUCCCACGGCCCCGUCCCCAUCAUCCCAUGUCCCCAUUCCCAUCCCAUGUCCCCAUCCCAUGUCCCUGUCCCCAUGUCCCCAUCCCCAUCCCACGUCCCCAUUCCCUUGUCCCUAUCCCAUGUCCCUGUCCCCAUCUCAUGUCCCUGUCCCCACAUCCCCGUCCCACAUCCCUGUCCCCAUCCCACGUCCCCAUGUCAUGCCUGUCCCCGUCCCACGUCCCCAUCCCCUUGUCCCUAUCCCACAUCCCCAUGCCCCUGUCCCCAGCCCACGGCCCCAUCCCCAUGUCCCCAUCCCAUGCCCGGCCCCAUCCCAGAUCCCUGUCCCCGUCCCCAUCCCCCUGUCCCCAUCCCUGUUCCCCUGUCCUCGUCAUCCCACAUCCCUGU
rnacentral:lncRNA from 1 species